GUUGGGUAGGGGAGCGUUCUGUAAGCCUGUGAAGGUGUGCUGUGAGGCAUGCUGGAGGUAUCAGAAGUGCGAAUGCUGACAUAAGUAACGAUAAAGCGGGUGAAAAGCCCGCUCGCCGGAAGACCAAGGGUUCCUGUCCAACGUUAAUCGGGGCAGGGUGAGUCGACCCCUAAGGCGAGGCCGAAAGGCGUAGUCGAUGGGAAACAGGUUAAUAUUCCUGUACUUGGUGUUACUGCGAAGGGGGGACGGAGAAGGCUAUGUUGGCCGGGCGACGGUUGUCCCGGUUUAAGCGUGUAGGCUGGUUUUCCAGGCAAAUCCGGAAAAUCAAGGCUGAGGCGUGAUGACGAGGCACUACGGUGCUGAAGCAACAAAUGCCCUGCUUCCAGGAAAAGCCUCUAAGCAUCAGGUAACAUCAAAUCGUACCCCAAACCGACACAGGUGGUCAGGUAGAGAAUACCAAGGCGCUUGAGAGAACUCGGGUGAAGGAACUAGGCAAAAUGGUGCCGUAACUUCGGGAGAAGGCACGCUGAUAUGUAGGUGAAGUCCCUCGCGGAUGGAGCUGAAAUCAGUCGAAGAUACCAGCUGGCUGCAACUGUUUAUUAAAAACACAGCACUGUGCAAACACGAAAGUGGACGUAUACGGUGUGACGCCUGCCCGGUGCCGGAAGGUUAAUUGAUGGGGUCAGCGCAAGCGAAGCUCUUGAUCGAAGCCCCGGUAAACGGCGGCCGUAACUAUAACGGUCCUAAGGUAGCGAAAUUCCUUGUCGGGUAAGUUCCGACCUGCACGAAUGGCGUAAUGAUGGCCAGGCUGUCUCCACCCGAGACUCAGUGAAAUUGAACUCGCUGUGAAGAUGCAGUGUACCCGCGGCAAGACGGAAAGACCCCGUGAACCUUUACUAUAGCUUGACACUGAACAUUGAGCCUUGAUGUGUAGGAUAGGUGGGAGGCUUUGAAGUGUGGACGCCAGUCUGCAUGGAGCCGACCUUGAAAUACCACCCUUUAAUGUUUGAUGUUCUAACGUGGACCCGUGAUCCGGGUUGCGGACAGUGUCUGGUGGGUAGUUUGACUGGGGCGGUCUCCUCCUAAAGAGUAACGGAGGAGCACGAAGGUUGGCUAAUCCUGGUCGGACAUCAGGAGGUUAGUGCAAUGGCAUAAGCCAGCUUGACUGCGAGCGUGACGGCGCGAGCAGGUGCGAAAGCAGGUCAUAGUGAUCCGGUGGUUCUGAAUGGAAGGGCCAUCGCUCAACGGAUAAAAGGUACUCCGGGGAUAACAGGCUGAUACCGCCCAAGAGUUCAUAUCGACGGCGGUGUUUGGCACCUCGAUGUCGGCUCAUCACAUCCUGGGGCUGAAGUAGGUCCCAAGGGUAUGGCUGUUCGCCAUUUAAAGUGGUACGCGAGCUGGGUUUAGAACGUCGUGAGACAGUUCGGUCCCUAUCUGCCGUGGGCGCUGGAGAACUGAGGGGGGCUGCUCCUAGUACGAGAGGACCGGAGUGGACGCAUCACUGGUGUUCGGGUUGUCAUGCCAAUGGCACUGCCCGGUAGCUAAAUGCGGAAGAGAUAAGUGCUGAAAGCAUCUAAGCACGAAACUUGCCCCGAGAUGAGUUCUCCCUGACCCUUUAAGGGUCCUGAAGGAACGUUGAAGACGACGACGUUGAUAGGCCGGGUGUGUAAGCGCAGCGAUGCGUUGAGCUAACCGGUACUAAUGAACCGUGAGGCUUAACCUU
rnacentral:rRNA from 1 species